UAGGGCGUCGGACUUCUAAUCCGAAUGUCGCAGGUUCGAAUCCUGC
rnacentral:tRNA from 1 species